UAGGGAAUCUUCGGCAAUGGGGGGAACCCUGACCGAGCAACGCCGCGUGAGUGAAGAAGGUUUUCGGAUCGUAAAGCUCUGUUGUAAGAGAAGAACGGGUGUGAGAGUGGAAAGUUCACACUGUGACGGUAUCUUACCAGAAAGGGACGGCUAACUACGUGCCAGCAGCCGCGGUAAUACGUAGGUCCCGAGCGUUGUCCGGAUUUAUUGGGCGUAAAGCGAGCGCAGGCGGCUAGAUAAGUCUGAAGUUAAAGGCUGUGGCUUAACCAUAGUAUGCUUUGGAAACUGUUUAACUUGAGUGCAGAAGGGGAGAGUGGAAUUCCAUGUGUAGCGGUGAAAUACGUAGAUAUAUGGAGGAACACCGGUGGCGAAAGCGGCUCUCUGGUCUGUAACUGACGCUGAGGCUCGAAAGCGUGGGGAGCAAACA
rnacentral:rRNA from 1 species